UACAGAGGGUGCGAGCGUUAAUCGGAAUUACUGGGCGUAAAGCGCACGUAGGCGGACUGUUAAGUCGGGGGUGAAAUCCUGGGGCUCAACCUCAGAAUUGCCUCCGAUACUGGCAGUCUCGAGUGCGGGAGAGGUGAGUGGAAUUCCCAGUGUAGAGGUGAAAUUCGUAGAUAUUGGGAAGAACACCAGUGGCGAAGGCGGCUCACUGGCCCGUAACUGACGCUGAGGUGCGAAAGGCGUGGGGAGCAAACAGG
rnacentral:rRNA from 1 species